UCACAUGAACCAUUUGAUGCUAAUGUUGUGCUAUGUGUGCUGUUUUUCAGUAAACAGGAUGAGAGGAACUCGUCGAUCUGCACGAUUGACUGGAGUACCACCGAAGGAUGAGGGCAUGAGUGCCCGUCCCCCUGCAUUGCCAAGGGCAAUGUCUAGCAGGUCUAGCAGGGAAAGAGCAGUGAGAGACCCUAGAAGGUCUUUGGAUAUGAACAGAAGCAGAUC
rnacentral:lncRNA from 1 species